CAACAUUGUUUAUAAACUUAAGAUUCCUCUGAGAAUAAAAAACAUUGCGUAGCUUCAAGGAGUGGUGCUCAUUAAAGAUAAUUUGGCCAAAAAAAAUUGGAACGGUUGGAAAAACAAAAUGUGUCUUCUGUGACCGGCAGGAGACCAUUCAACUAUUGUUUUUUUAGUGUCACAUGGCGUGUUUGGUAUGGAGAAUUGUUUUUGUGGCUUUUAAGUUACCACCCGCUUGCAUUACGAAUAUUUUUGGUCGAUGGCUUAGGGGGGUGAGGAAAUCGCUUCCGUCACUUAUCCUUGUAGAGACUUGUGUGAUUUGCUUUUCUAUAUAGAAUUGCAGGAAUGGUUUUGUUUAACAAGAAAAAAGUUUCCAAUUUGUUGCAUGUUAUUUUUCAGGCAUGCAUUGGUUCCGUACUUUGUCCUCGCUGUUUCCGACGUCGGUCAAGGUGUCUAUAUAUUUUGGAUGCAACUGUAUGAAGAUGGUAACACGAGAGUUUUUCAACCGGUUUGGAUGGCGCACUGGUCUUAGGCUUCAGAAGUUCAGAUAGAUGAUUUAUGUUUUUUUUUUGCUGUUUUAUCGUAACUUGUGAGACAGAUGUGUUGCUGUAUAUUGUAAUACAGUAAUACAAUUGAUGUAUGCAUCCAUGCAUAUGCUCGAAAGGAAGAAAAAAAGCUGCCCAGCAACCGGGGCUGACAGACGCUGAAGACGGAUACGCAGGCGUGUGUAUGAUAUUGCACGCUACAAACGUGGGAUAGGGGAACCGAAGGAGUGCGAGUUAGGCCUUGGGCUGGUGGCCCCAUUGCCUCGGCCUAGAUGGGCCUGAUCUACGUCUACGAAAUCUGGGU
rnacentral:lncRNA from 1 species